CCUACGGGGGGCUGCAGUGGGGAAUAUUGGACAAUGGGGGAAACCCUGAUCCAGCCAUGCCGCGUGAAUGAUGAAGGCCUUAGGGUUGUAAAGUUCUUUUACCGAUGAAGAUAAUGACGGUAGUCGGAGAAAAAGCCCCGGCUAACUUCGUGCCAGCAGCCGCGGUAAUACGAAGGGGGCUAGCGUUGUUCGGAUUUACUGGGCGUAAAGCGCACGUAGGUGGUGCCGCAAGUCAGGGGUGAAAUCCCAGAGCUCAACUCUGGAACUGCCUUUGA
rnacentral:rRNA from 1 species